GGACCCGCACAAGCGGUGGAGCAUGUGGUUUAAUUCGAUGCAACGCGAAGAACCUUACCUGGCCUUGACAUCUGUCGAAUCCUGCAGAGAUGCGGGAGUGCCUUCGGGAGCGACAAGACAGGUGCUGCAUGGCUGUCGUCAGCUCGUGUCGUGAGAUGUUGGGUUAAGUCCCGCAACGAGCGCAACCCUUGUCCUUAGUUGCCAUCAUUCAGUUGGGAACUCUAAGGAGACCGCCGGUGACAAACCGGAGGAAGGUGGGGAUGACGUCAAGUCAUCAUGGCCUUUAUGGCCAGGGCUACACACGUGCUACAAUGGCAGGUACAGAGGGAAGCCAACGCGCGAGCGGGAGCCAAUCCCAGAAAGCCUGUCGUAGUCCGGAUCGGAGUCUGCAACUCGACUCUGUGAAGUCGGAAUCGCUAGUAAUCGCAGAUCAGCAUUGCUGCGGUGAAUACGUUCCCGGGUCUU
rnacentral:rRNA from 1 species